rnacentral:rRNA from 1 species
GGGUUGUGAGGUUAAGCGACUAAGCGUACACGGUGGAUGCCCUGGCAGUCAGAGGCGAUGAAGGGCGUGCUAAUCUGCGAUAAGCGCCGGUAAGGUGAUAUGAACCGUUAUAACCGGCGAUACCCGAAUGGGGAAACCCAGUGUGACUCGUCACACUAUCAUUAACUGAAUCCAUAGGUUAAUGAGGCGAACCGGGGGAACUGAAACAUCUAAGUACCCCGAGGAAAAGAAAUCAACCGAGAUUCCCCCAGUAGCGGCGAGCGAACGGGGAGGAGCCCAGAGCCUGAAUCAGCAUGUGUGUUAGUGGAAGCGUCUGGAAAGGCGCGCGAUACAGGGUGACAGCCCCGUACACAAAAGCGCAUGUGCUGUGAGCUCGAUGAGUAGGGCGGGACACGUGGUAUCCUGUCUGAAUAUGGGGGGACCAUCCUCCAAGGCUAAAUACUCCUGACUGACCGAUAGUGAACCAGUACCGUGAGGGAAAGGCGAAAAGAACCCCGGCGAGGGGAGUGAAAAAGAACCUGAAACCGUGUACGUACAAGCAGUGGGAGCACCCUUUGGGGUGUGACUGCGUACCUUUUGUAUAAUGGGUCAGCGACUUAUAUUCUGUAGCAAGGUUAACCGAAUAGGGGAGCCGGAGGGAAACCGAGUCUUAAUUGGGCGUUAAGUUGCAGGGUAUAGACCCGAAACCCGGUGAUCUAGCCAUGGGCAGGUUGAAGGUUGGGUAACACUAACUGGAGGACCGAACCGACUAAUGUUGAAAAAUUAGCGGAUGACCUGUGGCUGGGGGUGAAAGGCCAAUCAAACCGGGAGAUAGCUGGUUCUCCCCGAAAGCUAUUUAGGUAGCGCCUCGUGAAUUCAUCUCCGGGGGUAGAGCACUGUUUCGGCUAGGGGGCCAUCCCGGCUUACCAACCCGAUGCAAACUGCGAAUACCGGAGAAUGUUAUCACGGGAGACACACGGCGGGUGCUAACGUCCGUCGUGAAGAGGGAAACAACCCAGACCGCCAGCUAAGGUCCCAAAGUCAUGGUUAAGUGGGAAACGAUGUGGGAAGGCCCAGACAGCCAGGAUGUUGGCUUAGAAGCAGCCAUCAUUUAAAGAAAGCGUAAUAGCUCACUGGUCGAGUCGGCCUGCGCGGAAGAUGUAACGGGGCUAAACCAUGCACCGAAGCUGCGGCAGCGAACGUAUCACUUAAAGCGAUUCAGCGGGUUACGAUUGACGGAGCGAAGCGACGUCAAAGCGUAUACAAAGUCGAGUCGGUUUAAGGAUACGUUCGUUGGGUAGGGGAGCGUUCUGUAAGCCUGUGAAGGUGGCCUGUGAGGGUUGCUGGAGGUAUCAGAAGUGCGAAUGCUGACAUAAGUAACGAUAAAGCGGGUGAAAAGCCCGCUCGCCGGAAGACCAAGGGUUCCUGUCCAACGUUAAUCGGGGCAGGGUGAGUCGACCCCUAAGGCGAGGCCGAAAGGCGUAGUCGAUGGGAAACGGGUUAAUAUUCCCGUACUUGGUGUUACUGCGAAGGGGGGACGGAGAAGGCUAUGUUGGCCGGGCGACGGUUGUCCCGGUUUAAGCGUGUAGGUGUGUGUUCCAGGUAAAUCCGGUUCACUUUAACACUGAGGCGUGACGACGAGGCACUACGGUGCUGAAGCAACAAAUGCCCUGCUUCCAGGAAAAGCCUCUAAGCAUCAGGUAACAUCAAAUCGUACCCCAAACCGACACAGGUGGUCAGGUAGAGAAUACCAAGGCGCUUGAGAGAACUCGGGUGAAGGAACUAGGCAAAAUGGUGCCGUAACUUCGGGAGAAGGCACGCUGACACGUAGGUGAAGUGAUUUACUCAUGGAGCUGAAGUCAGUCGAAGAUACCAGCUGGCUGCAACUGUUUAUUAAAAACACAGCACUGUGCAAACACGAAAGUGGACGUAUACGGUGUGACGCCUGCCCGGUGCCGGAAGGUUAAUUGAUGGGGUCAGCGCAAGCGAAGCUCCUGAUCGAAGCCCCGGUAAACGGCGGCCGUAACUAUAACGGUCCUAAGGUAGCGAAAUUCCUUGUCGGGUAAGUUCCGACCUGCACGAAUGGCGUAAUGAUGGCCAGGCUGUCUCCACCCGAGACUCAGUGAAAUUGAACUCGCUGUGAAGAUGCAGUGUACCCGCGGCAAGACGGAAAGACCCCGUGAACCUUUACUAUAGCUUGACACUGAACAUUGAGCCUUGAUGUGUAGGAUAGGUGGGAGGCUUUGAAGCGUGGACGCCAGUCUGCGUGGAGCCGACCUUGAAAUACCACCCUUUAAUGUUUGAUGUUCUAACGUGGACCCGUUACCCGGGUUGCGGACAGUGUCUGGUGGGUAGUUUGACUGGGGCGGUCUCCUCCUAAAGAGUAACGGAGGAGCACGAAGGUUGGCUAAUCCUGGUCGGACAUCAGGAGGUUAGUGCAAUGGCAUAAGCCAGCUUGACUGCGAGCGUGACGGCGCGAGCAGGUGCGAAAGCAGGUCAUAGUGAUCCGGUGGUUCUGAAUGGAAGGGCCAUCGCUCAACGGAUAAAAGGUACUCCGGGGAUAACAGGCUGAUACCGCCCAAGAGUUCAUAUCGACGGCGGUGUUUGGCACCUCGAUGUCGGCUCAUCACAUCCUGGGGCUGAAGUAGGUCCCAAGGGUAUGGCUGUUCGCCAUUUAAAGUGGUACGCGAGCUGGGUUUAGAACGUCGUGAGACAGUUCGGUCCCUAUCUGCCGUGGGCGCUGGAGAACUGAGGGGGGCUGCUCCUAGUACGAGAGGACCGGAGUGGACGCAUCACUGGUGUUCGGGUUGUCAUGCCAAUGGCACUGCCCGGUAGCUAAAUGCGGAAGAGAUAAGUGCUGAAAGCAUCUAAGCACGAAACUUGCCCCGAGAUGAGUUCUCCCUGAGACUUUAGGUCUCCUGAAGGAACGUUGAAGACGACGACGUUGAUAGGCCGGGUGUGUAAGCGCAGCGAUGCGUUGAGCUAACCGGUACUAAUGAACCGUGAGGCUUAACCUUACAACGCCGAAG